AAGAAAUCCUUCACUCUUAGCUUUUCUAGUCAAUUAAAAUAGCAAUAAUAAUAAAAGAAAAACUUGGGUACUAUUAUGUGUAUUGCAAACACAACUUUGAUCAGUAGUCUGAUGAACUUUUGCUGUUUUGUUUGUGUUGUUCAAUUUCGUUCCAGGUCAUGUAGAAACCGUUAUGGUCGGAGUACAUUAUUUUAUGUACAUCAUUUUAAACAAUCAAUAUGAAUGCUCUAAUUCCAUGCUUUCCCUCCUGAUUUUAGAAGCAGUUUUCAAAGUUAUUUUGCAAUUUCUAGGAAUUUUUGGACCGUAUAAUGAUUUUCAGAAUCAGUAGAUUAAAUUAUCUCAUUCUCUCUAGGAUUCUGAGCGCAGGAUCUGUUUUUCUGGUGGUUCCCUCAAAAUUCAAAUUUCUUCUCCUCCAAUGGUCCUUAAAUCUGAAAAUUUUCCUCCCUCAAACGCCUACAUGUCUCUCUCUUCUCCCUAUAUAUAUUGUCUCCUUCAAAAUUGUUUUUGUACCGGUUACUUCCUCUAAUUCUCUCGUCGUCUCUGAAAUUGAAUGGUAGCCUAGCCCUGUCUUCACUAUGCUCUGUAAUUUUGUUUUGUGUUUUGGUGUUAAGAAAAAUUUGUUCAGUAAGGAACUUUUUCAACUCACCCAAUCGCCUAGCUUGUUGUGGAUGUGAGGCUGUUAACGAUCCGGAUACCAUGGAGAAGCUCAGCUUGCGCUUCGAUACGAUCUUUGAUUAAGGGUAUAUCUGAAUUUUGCAGACCCAAGCUACAGAAAAAUCAGAGGGUCCAAAGAUUUCAAUCAUCUUCUUUUCUCAAGGCAACUGCAACCACUUUCCAGCAUAUGAAGAUCCAUUCAUGAAGAAGUAUCUUCCCAUACAUCCAUCUACACAUGUUCUGUAGAUGGAGUUCUGUGGUAGAUGAACGAGCAAUCAACAACACUAAAGGGUUCCUUAAUCAAUGGCUGAGAAAUGAGAACCAUACACUUUUCCUUAAUUCUGCAAAAGCUAUUGGUUGUACAGUGGUUAAUAUUGGCACGCAGGACUUGGUUGAGGCAAGACUUCUGGCUAUCCGACACAACUUUUGGAUGAUCUCCAUCUGAACCGUACUCUGCAACUUGUGAAACUGGUGGAUGACAGCAAGGAUGAAGCAAACUUUAAAGGAGGGCUCUGAGUUUGGCUAAUGCUUGUGCUGCAAUCUGUACAACUCAUAUCUAACCAACUUUAAUUGUUCAAGAACUCAUGUCCAAGUCCUAAACCAAAUGGAAUCUCUUUGUUGUCCUUUCUUCUGUUAUGUUUAUUGAAACAUAACGUAUAAUCAACUGUAAUUAGUAGGAUAAUUGUAAAUAAUCAAAGAUGAAGACUUUUUGGGUUUGGGAGGAAGAGACUGCUGGGAUAUCCAGGUCUCUUCUCUCUCUACUGUGGGUGUGGUGUGGUGUGUACCCCCCCUCUCUCUUUCACUUGCUUUCUUUUCGGGCUCU